rnacentral:rRNA from 1 species
UACGUAGGGUGCGAGCGUUAAUCGGAAUUACUGGGCGUAAAGCGUGCGCAGGCGGUUUCUGAAGUCCGUUGUGAAAGCCCCGGGCUUAACCUGGGAAUGGCAGUGGAAACUAGGAGACUUGAAUCUGGCAGAGGGGGGUGGAAUGCCACGUGUAGCAGUGAAAUGCGUAGAGAUGUGGCGGAACACCGAUGACGAAGGCAGCCCCCUGGGUCAAGAUUGACGCUCAGGCACGAAAGCGUGGGGAGCAAACAGG